rnacentral:tRNA from 1 species
GAUAAAAUAAGCUAAUUAAGCUAUUGGGUUCAUACCCCAACAAUGAGAGUUUUGGGUCUCUCUUUUAUUG